rnacentral:rRNA from 1 species
UCAGGAUGAACGCUGGCGGCGUGCCUAAUACAUGCAAGUCGAGCGAACCACUUUGGUGGUGAGCGGCGAACGGGUGAGUAACACGUAGGUGAUCUGCCCAUCAGACGGGGACAACGAUUGGAAACGAUCGCUAAUACCGGAUAGGACGAAAGUUUAAAGGUGCUUCUGGCACCGCUGAUGGAUGAGCCUGCGGCGCAUUAGCUAGUUGGUAGGGUAAAGGCCUACCAAGGCGACGAUGCGUAGCCGACCUGAGAGGGUGAACGGCCACACUGGGACUGAGACACGGCCCAGACUCCUACGGGAGGCAGCAGUAGGGAAUCUUCGGCAAUGGGCGAAAGCCUGACCGAGCAACGCCGCGUGAAUGAUGAAGGCCUUCGGGUUGUAAAAUUCUGUUAUAAGGGAAGAACGACUUUAGUAGGAAAUGGCUAGAGUGUGACGGUACCUUAUGAGAAAGCCACGGCUAACUACGUGCCAGCAGCCGCGGUAAUACGUAGGUGGCGAGCGUUAUCCGGAAUUAUUGGGCGUAAAGAGCGCGCAGGUGGUUGAUUAAGUCUGAUGUGAAAGCCCACGGCUUAACCGUGGAGGGUCAUUGGAAACUGGUCGACUUGAGUGCAGA